GUGCACCAGGCGCGAAACCUCCGCAAUGCGGGAAACCGCGACGGGGGGACCCCGAGUGCCGUGGCAACGCCACGGCUUUUCCGGAGUGUAAAAAGCUCCGGGAAUAAGGGCUGGGCAAGGCCGGUGGCAGCCGCCGCGGUAAUACCGGCGGCCCGAGUGGUGGCCGCUAUUAUUGGGCCUAAAAGCGUCCGUAGCCGGGCCCGUAAGUCCCUGGCGAAAAUCCCACGGCUCAAACCGUGGGGCUUGCUGGGGAUACUGCGGGUCUUGGGACCGGGAGAGGCGGGGGGUACCCCUGGGGUAGGGGUGAAAUCCUAUAAUCCCAGGGGGAACCGCCAGUGGCGAAGGCGCCCCGCUGGAACGGGUCCGACGGUGAGGGACGAAGGCCAGGGGAGCAAAACCGGAUUAGAUACCCGGGUAGU
rnacentral:rRNA from 1 species